UCACGCAGUAGGACGCGACCUGAUGUGCCGACAGGCGGCCCAUUCCCUUGUGGAGUCCCAGCGCCAUGGGCGCAUCGGUUUGAUGAAGCCGAAAGCGGCAUCGGAUCGCGGCAGCUCAGUCGCCCAUCACGUCGCACGCUGGCCCUGAAGGAGAAGGCACACAUGCCUCGCACGUCAUGCGCGAAAGGGACUCCUCAUCUGCUCGACAUAAUGCGCGACGGUGCGGAUGGACCACAUGACGUUCCUCUAUCGAUCUUCCCAGGUUGGAGAGAGGAGCGCAACACAAGUCCAAGGAUGAUGUGAUGUCCCAGCUGUUCGGCUGGUGAGAUGUCAGGUGGGUGCUCGACGAAUUGCCUCAAAGAGGAGAUCCGCUCGCUUAACGUGGCUGGUGUUGAACGCGCGUAGCCCCACUUGUGUCAUCCAAUAAGUUGAAUAGAUGAAUAGAUUGAGACGGAGAUAGCGCAGCAGCAGCAGCCGCAGUAGCAGCAGGCAGAGAGAGAGAGAGAUGGCGAGGAACAUGAUGGAGCUCGUGAAAAGGGGAAGGAACGGGUUGCCUCUUCUCCGAAUGGCCUCGCUCUUCUCUACUCAACAAGCGGUGGAUCCUGCGGCGGCUUCUCUGAAUCAACAAGGAAGCCACGCAACGCAGCUUAUUGGGAGGACGCCGAUGGUGUACCUGAACGAAGUGACUGAAGGUUGUCAUGCACAGAUCGCAGCAAAGCUGGACUUUUUGCAACCUUCCUUCAGCGUGAAGGACAGGUGUGACAUGUUGCCCUGUCUCUCAGCUUAUUGGGAGGACGCCGAUGGUGUCCCUGAACAAAGUGACUGAAGGCUGUCAUGCACAGAUCGCAGCAAAGCUGGACUUUUUGCAACCUUCCUUCAGCGUGAAGGACAGGGGUGACAUGUUGCCCUGUCUCUUGUUUUCAUGCAGUCCGCGAGAAGUGGGCUUGUCCACCGUCUGACUGAUAGGCGAUUGCUCACCGCCUGCUUCUCUUUCUCUUGUAUUCUGGCCGGCUGUGGCCAUGAUAGAAGAUGCUGAGAAGAAUGGAGCUGAUGACUCCUGGCAAGGUUGUCACUCUUUGUUUUAUGUCCUAUCCUUUCUGACCCA